rnacentral:rRNA from 1 species
UGGGGAAUAUUGCACAAUGGGGGAAACCCUGAUGCAGCGACGCCGCGUGAGCGAAGAAGGCUUUCGAGUCGUAAAGCUCUGUCCUAUGAGAAGAUAAUGACGGUAUCAUAGGAGGAAGCCCUGGCUAAAUACGUGCCAGCAGCCGCGGUAAUACGUAUGGGGCGAGCGUUGUCCGGAAUUAUUGGGCGUAAAGGGUACGUAGGCGGUUUUUUAAGCCAGGUGUCAAAGCGUGGAGCUUAACUCCAUUAAGCACUUGAAACUGAAAGACGUGAGUGAAGGAGAGGAAAGUGGAAUUCGUAGUGUAGCGGUGAAAUGCGUAGAUAUUAGGAGGAAUACCGGUGGCGAAGGCGACUUUCUGGACUGUUACUGACGAUCAGGUACGAAAGCGGGGGGAGCAAACAGG